rnacentral:tRNA from 1 species
CAUUAGAUGACUGAAAGCAAGUAAUGGUCUCUUAAACCACACAAUAGUAAAUUAGCGCUUACUUCUAAUGA